UUAAGUGAAUAAGGGCGCACGGUGGAUGCCUUGGUACUAGGAGCCGAAGAAGGACGGAACUAACACCGAUAUGCUUUGGGGAGCUGUAAGUAAGCUAAGAUCCAAAGAUUUCCGAAUGGGGGAACCCAGCACCUUUCAUAGGGUGUUACCAAUGAGUGAAUACAUAGCUCAUUAGGAGGUACACGCAGGGAACUGAAACAUCUCAUUACCUGCAGGAAGAGAAAGAAAAAUCGAUUCCCUGAGUAGCGGCGAGCGAAACGGGAGGAGCCCAAACCAACGAGCUUGCUUGUUGGGGUUGUAGGACUAGAACGUGAGAAGACAUCAAGAUAGCAGAAGUGGUCUGGAAAGGCCCAUCAAAGAAGGUGACAAUCCUGUACGCGACAUCUUGACGAACUCUACUAGCAUCCUGAGUACGGCGGGACACGAGGAAUCCCGUCGGAAUCCGCCAGGACCAUCUGGCAAGGCUAAAUACUACCUAGUGACCGAUAGUGAACCAGUACCGUGAGGGAAAGGUGAAAAGAACCCCGGGAGGGGAGUGAAAGAGUACCUGAAACCGUGUGCUUACAAGUAGUCAGAGCCCGUUAAUGGGUGAUGGCGUGCCUUUUGUAGAAUGAACCGGCGAGUUACGUUUACAUGCGAGGUUAAGAUGAAGAGUCGGAGCCGUAGCGAAAGCGAGUCUGAAUAGGGCGCAUGAAGUAUGUGGACGUAGACCCGAAACCAAGUGAUCUACCCAUGUCCAGGUUGAAGGUGCGGUAAAACGCACUGGAGGACCGAACCAGGGCACGUUGAAAAGUGCUUGGAUGACUUGUGGGUAGCGGAGAAAUUCCAAACGAACUUGGAGAUAGCUGGUUCUCUCCGAAAUAGCUUUAGGGCUAGCGUCGACAUAAAGAUUCUUGGAGGUAGAGCACUGUUUGGGUGAGGGGUCCAUCCCGGAUUACCAAUCUCAGAUAAACUCCGAAUGCCAAUGAAUUAUGGUCGGCAGUCAGACUGCGAGUGCUAAGAUCCGUAGUCGAAAGGGAAACAGCCCAGACCACCAGCUAAGGUCCCAAAAUAAUUGUUAAGUGGAAAAGGAUGUGGGGUUGCACAGACAACUAGGAUGUUAGCUUAGAAGCAGCUAUUCAUUCAAAGAGUGCGUAAUAGCUCACUAGUCGAGUGACCCUGCGCCGAAAAUGUAACGGGGCUAAACAGAUUACCGAAGCUGUGGAUUGGACCUUAUGGUCCAGUGGUAGGAGAGCGUUCUAAGGGCGGUGAAGCAUGAUCGUAAGGACAUGUGGAGCGCUUAGAAGUGAGAAUGCCGGUAUGAGUAGCGAAAGACGGGUGAGAAUCCCGUCCACCGAAUAACUAAGGUUUCCUGGGGAAGGCUCGUCCUCCCAGGGUUAGUCGGGACCUAAGGCGAGGCCGAUAGGCGUAGUCGAUGGACAACAGGUUGAUAUUCCUGUACUUCUAUAAAUCGUUUGAGCAAUGGAGGGACGCAGGAGGCUAAGAAAAGCGUACGACUGGAAGUGUACGCCCAAGCAGUGAGUCGGCUGAUGAGUCAAAUGCUUAUCACGGAUGCGACAAGCUGUAACGGGGAGGGAAGUUUAGUACCGAAGUUUCUGAUGUCACACUGCCGAGAAAAGCUUCUAGCAAGAUUUAUAGGACCCGUACCGCAAACCGACACAGGUAGUUGAGGAGAGAAUCCUAAGGUGAGCGAGCGAACUCUCGUUAAGGAACUCGGCAAAAUGACCCCGUAACUUCGGGAGAAGGGGUGCUGACAGCGAUGUCAGCCGCAGUGAAUAGGCCCAGGCGACUGUUUAUCAAAAACACAGGUCUCUGCAAAAUCGAAAGAUGACGUAUAGGGGCUGACGCCUGCCCGGUGCUGGAAGGUUAAGAGGAGAGGUUAGCGCAAGCGAAGCUUUGAAUUGAAGCCCCAGUAAACGGCGGCCGUAACUAUAACGGUCCUAAGGUAGCGAAAUUCCUUGUCGGGUAAGUUCCGACCCGCACGAAAGGCGUAACGAUUUGGGCACUGUCUCAACGAUGGACUCGGUGAAAUCAUAGUACCUGUGAAGAUGCAGGUUACCCGCGACAGGACGGAAAGACCCCAUGGAGCUUUACUGUAGUUUGAUAUUGAGUGUUUGUGUCACAUGUACAGGAUAGGUAGGAGCUGAAGAAUCCGGGACGCCAGUUUCGGAGGAGGCAACGGUGGGAUACUACCCUUGUGACAUGACCACUCUAACCCGCACCCCUAACCGGGGUGGGAGACAGUGUCAGACGGGCAGUUUGACUGGGGCGGUCGCCUCCUAAAAUGUAACGGAGGCGCCCAAAGGUUCCCUCAGAAUGGUUGGAAAUCAUUCGAAGAGUGUAAAGGCAGAAGGGAGCUUGACUGCGAGACCUACAAGUCGAGCAGGGACGAAAGUCGGGCUUAGUGAUCCGGUGGUACCGUAUGGAAGGGCCAUCGCUCAACGGAUAAAAGCUACCCUGGGGAUAACAGGCUUAUC
rnacentral:rRNA from 1 species